rnacentral:rRNA from 1 species
GAUGAACGCUGGCGGCGUGCCUAAUACAUGCAAGUCGAGCGAACAGACGAGGAGCUUGCUCCUCUGACGUUAGCGGCGGACGGGUGAGUAACACGCAGAUAACCUACCUAUAAGACUGGGAUAACUUCGGGAAACCGGAGCUAAUACCGGAUAAUAUAUUGAACCGCAUGGUUCAAUAGUGAAAGACGGUUUUGCUGUCACUUAUAGAUGGAUCCGCGCCGCAUUAGCUAGUUGGUAAGGUAACGGCUUACCAAGGCAACGAUGCGUAGCCGACCUGAGAGGGUGAUCGGCCACACUGGAACUGAGACACGGUCCAGACUCCUACGGGAGGCAGCAGUAGGGAAUCUUCCGCAAUGGGCGAAAGCCUGACGGAGCAACGCCGCGUGAGUGAUGAAGGUCUUCGGAUCGUAAAACUCUGUUAUUAGGGAAGAACAAAUGUGUAAGUAACUAUGCACGUCUUGACGGUACCUAAUCAGAAAGCCACGGCUAACUACGUG